rnacentral:rRNA from 1 species
AUUGAACGCUGGCGGCAUGCUUUACACAUGCAAGUCGAACGGCAGCGCGGGCUUCGGCCUGGCGGCGAGUGGCGAACGGGUGAGUAAUGCAUCGGAACGUGCCCAGUAGUGGGGGAUAGCCCGGCGAAAGCCGGAUUAAUACCGCAUACGACCUGAGGGUGAAAGCGGGGGACCGAAAGGCCUCGCGCUAUUGGAGCGGCCGAUGUCGGAUUAGCUAGUUGGUGGGGUAAAGGCUUACCAAGGCGACGAUCCGUAGCUGGUCUGAGAGGACGACCAGCCACACUGGGACUGAGACACGGCCCAGACUCCUACGGGAGGCAGCAGUGGGGAAUUUUGGACAGUGGGGGCAACCCUGAUCCAGCCAUGCCGCGUGCGGGAAGAAGGCCUUCGGGUUGUAAACCGCUUUUGUUCGGGAAGAAAUCCUCUGGGCUAAUACCCGGGGGGAUGACGGUACCGGAAGAAUAAGCACCGGCUAACUACGUG